CUAGUGAAUAUUCUUCUUUAGAUGAAGAUCCUUGCAAUGUUUUCUCCAAGUUCAUUUUGACAUCUGAUGUUGAGCUCUCCGUUAGAGGGGCAAAAUCAGAUCUCAGUAAUUGGUUGCAGAUGGCUGACUUAGGCCUUGUUGAUGACUUGGAGAAACUUCCAUAUGUUUCCGCUGCUUUGGAGCAACUGGAAGAAAGGAUGAAAUACUGGUCUGAGUUCAGAUAUUACAGUAGCAGCCCCCCUCUAAAAAAUAGCUCCUCUCCUAUCUCUAGUAACAAAUUGAAGAACUCUGAUAAUCCGAAAACUUCACAUACGAACAGUGGGCAUAAACUCUCCCCUCUUUCAGAUGGAGAUAUUAUUACCGGUGUUUCAGGGCUUUCUGUUUCACCCC
rnacentral:rRNA from 1 species